rnacentral:lncRNA from 1 species
UCUGGAUUUUGCGAAAGCCUUGCUUCCAGCCUUAGCACUUCAUGGUUAAAAAUACCACCCAUGAUUUAUUUAUCCUGUUUAGGAUGCGAUGUGUACCUUUCUGUUUGCCGGCAGGUGGCAGUGGUGUAGGAGUGUUAAGGAUGACCAGCAAAAACCCAAGGGCUUUGCUGCGGCUGUUUCCAGGCUGCUGUGUGCUCAGUCUCUUCCAGCUGCGAGGGGAUUAUGAGCAUAUUUCUCCUUGGUCUGCACAAGUUGAUUCAUCUCAUCAGCACUUUCUGAUCAAUUGAUACAUUUUUGAAAGCGUGUUUUUGGCAAUUGCUUUCUAGUGUGUGAAAUGAUAUCAUCUUGGGUAUUGAUGGAAAUGGAUGCUAAUGAAAUAAACAGAAGCACUUUUUACAUGGCCUUUCCCUAGAGACACAGGAGCAUUGGGCAUCUUCAAGCAUUUUUUCCUCUUACAAAUGUCCAGGUGAACAUUUUCUGAUCUGUAUACUUGUCUUUAAAAAAAAAAAAAUCUGUUUGCAUCACAAUGCAGGAUUUGAAAUCGACUUGUUUUGGUAACUUUUAAUUUCUAAGCAAGUGUCGCUCUGCAUUUAUCAGCAGUGGCUUUAUUGGAGGGAGAUCUAACGAGCUGUUAACCCCUUGCUUGCAAGAGUGGAUAUGGGUCUUUCUUCCAUCUGCAGUCCUGACUCCAGAGCCUUCUCCUGCUCAGGUCAGGGCUGGAGGGGUUUGCACAGUGUGCUCUGCUGAUGAGCCAAUGCACAGAUGCAGAGAUACUGCGCUCCACUCUGAGACAGCACAGACUUCAUGAGAUUAUCCUUGAAUAUAUAAGCAAUCAGGAUCCUGAUUGUGGAAACCCCAGAUGUAUGAAUGAGGACAGUCACCUUGAGAAGUAUCCCUGAAGUCUGGCAAGGAGAAGCUGCACAAUCUGUGCUGUACCACAGCGGCUGAAGGUUUUGGCUGCCAUCCUCUGCAGGGAAACGAAGGCACAGAGAUGCUGAAGGACACAUCCCAGUUUUAUAAUUUCCUACGUGCUGGAAGUAGGACAGAUGAAUGCUAUGAAAUGCUUAGCAUCACUUUCCCUGGAAGAGAAAGUGAAAUUCAGGAAGGUGGAUCAGGAAAACAGCAUUCUCCUGCCACAGGGAAACAUGGAAAAGUGCAGAAAGGGACAAGCAGGAGAUUUCCUUGGCCUUUUGGAACAUUCCCAGCUACUGAGGGCACUGUCAUACUAUGUGGCAUAUCUGGCACAAACAAAUAUUCUCAGUUUAUUCAGCAAAGAAGACAAUCACCUAUGGCAUCCUUCUGCUGCUCUGGAUGUACAGCUACCCAUGCUUCAGAAGAGAAAACUCCAGUAUUGCUACUCUCAUACAGGUUCAACAGAGGAAGAACAAACCCAUUGCAACAGCAAAAAGAAUCUCUUCAGCAGCUGAGAUCUCUUCACUUGUGGGUAGAAAGCACAGAGAAAUAAAUAUCGCAAGAAUGGCGCUAAGGAUAAGAUAGACCUAUUUAUAUUUAAUAGGACUUUGCAGACUUCUGUGGCCUGAUUGCAGUGACAUGGUGUGCAAAUGAUAUAAUUUCUUUGGAUUAAAAGGAGUUUCUCUUUUAUUUGGAGUUAGCCAGAAAAAGCUCUGAAAUCACCAGAUUGUACUGCUAUUUAUCGGGAAAAUUCUUAUUGGAAACAUCUGAGUUUAUCCCUUCAGGCAUAGUUAGGCCAUAUGUAGUCAUAGCAUUUCAAAUUUUGCUUGGAGCAUAAAUAUGAGGCUAGACAAUUGAAAAAGAGUCUUUAUACAUCCUUACAAUUUAUGUUUUAGCAUAUAAUGAGCAAGUGUUCCCAUGUAUGAAGAUUAGGUACUUAUUUCCUCUGAAAGCCAAUGGUCAUGGAUUUUCUCAUCAUAAACGGUGUACUUUCAUUUCCUCUCUUGCUCUUUGUAUGCACCUCUCCAUUGUUAAACAAUUAAGUAGCAGAAGCUGUUAAUAUUAUGUUAAAAAAUUCAUCCUAUUUCACGGGUUUUUUCCAGUCUUGUUACACUAUUUUCAUGUGAAAACAUGGGUGAAAACACUUAGCAAAACAAAAGAUGCAAAAUAUCAGAAGUAGGACAUUUGUAGAUAAGCUUCAAAACCUAUUGCCAUAGGAAUUAAAGAAUGAAAACCAUCAACACGUUGUAUCUUCUAAGAGUUUUUUCUUGUAUAUAUAUGAACAUUUGUUCUGCUUUAAAAGAUGUAUGUGUAUGAAGCGUUUCUCAAUAAAAAGCAUCAAAAUCAUGCA